GACAGGUGUGUAAUCAGAUUAAUGAUGUAGGACAGGUGAUGUAGGACAGGUGUGUUAUCAUGUAGGACAGGUGAGUUAUCGGAUUAAUGAUGUAGGACAGGUGUGUUAUCAGAUUAAUGAUGUAGGACAGGUGAUGUAGGACAGGUGUGUUAUCAUGUAGGACAGGUGAGUUAUCGGAUUAAUGAUGUAGGACAGGUUAUGUAGGACAGGUGUGUAAUCAGAUUAAUGAUGUAGGACAGGUGAUGUAGGACAGGUGUGUUAUCAUGUAGGACAGGUGAGUUAUCGGAUUAAUGAUGUAGGACAGGUGUGUUAUCAGAUCAAUGAUGUAGGACAGGUGAUGUAGGACAGGUGAGUUAUCGGAUUAAUGAUGUAGGACAGGUUAUGUAGGACAGGUGUGUUAUCAGAUUAAUGAUGUAGGACAGGUGUGUUAUCAUGUAGGACAGGUGAGUUAUCGGAUUAAUGAUGUAGGACAGGUGUGUUAUCAGAUUAAUGAUGUAGGACAGGUGAUGUAGGACAGGUGUGUUAUCAUGUAGGACAGGUGAGUUAUCGGAUUAAUGAUGUAGGACAGGUGUGUUAUCAGAUUAAUGAUGUAGGACAGGUGAGUUAU